ACGACUCUCGGCAAUGGAUAUCUCGGCUCCCGUGUCGAUGAAGAACGCAGCGAAAUGCGAUACAUGGUGUGAAUUGCAGAAUCUCGUGAAUCAUUGAGUUUUUGAACGCAAGUUGCGCCCGAGGCCGUUUUUCGGUCGAGGGCACGCCUGCCUGGGCGUC
rnacentral:rRNA from 1 species